CAGGUGCAUUUGAAACAAUCCAUUCCACCAUAUGGGAAAGUAAACUCUCCUUUAUUACUCACUUUGUCCCAUGUUACCCAGCGUACGGCUUUCAGCACUCUCUGUAUCCUCACCAACCCCUUUUUAUCCAAACAAGAACAUAGGCUUUGGGGUUGGAGAGGUUUAUGUUCAAACUGUGGCUUUACCUCUACUUACAGUUAUAUGGCGUUGGACAAGUUAUGUAGCUGUUCCCCCCAUAAUUCAUUUGUAAGAUAAGGCAAGUAAAACCUGCUUCAGGAUCAUUGAGAUUAAAUAAUAUGGGCAACGUGUUUAGCGCAAUCCGUAGCACACAGUAAUGUUAGCCCUUAUUGAGCAUUAUUAUCACUGCUAGUUCUAUUAAAACUAAUAAAUAAGUCACCCUAUCUGCGAAUCUGAUCAGUCUCUUCACUCUUUGGUGAAAUAUGUGUAGACAUUUUCACCUUCAUAGCUUCAUAAGUCAAACUAG